AUUUAAGUAGUUUAUUAAAAAUAUUGAUUUGUGGUGUCAAUGAAGUAAUGUAGUUACCUUAAAUC
rnacentral:tRNA from 1 species